AACGAACGCUGGCGGCAGGCCUCAAACAUGCAAGUCUAGGGGGUGCAGCAAUGCAUCACCGGCGGACGGGUGCGUAACGCGUGGGAAUAUACCUUUUGGUUCGGAACAACUGCGGGAAACUGCAGCUAAUACCGAAUGUGCCCUAACGGGGAAAGAUUUAUCGCCAAAGGAUUAGCCCGCGUAGGAUUAGCUAGUUGGUGAGGUAAUGGCUCACCAAGGCUCCGAUCCUUAGCGUUCUGAGAGAGAUCAGCCACACUGGGACUGAGACACGGCCCAGACUCCUACGGGAGGCAGCAGUUGGGAAUCUUGCGCAAUGGGCGAAAGCCUGACGCAGCCAUGCCGCGUGAAUGAUGAAGGUCUAGGAUUGUAAAAUUCUUUCACGGGGAANAUAAUGACGGUACCCGGAGAAGAAGCCCCGCUAACUUCGUGCCAGCAGCCGCCGCAGUAAU
rnacentral:rRNA from 1 species